GAUGAACGCUGGCGGCGUGCCUAAUACAUGCAAGUCGAGCGAACAGACGAGGAGCUUGCUCCUCUGACGUUAGCGGCGGACGGGUGAGUAACACGUGGAUAACCUACCUAUAAGACUGGGAUAACUUCGGGAAACCGGAGCUAAUACCGGAUAAUAUAUUGAACCGCAUGGUUCAAUAGUGAAAGACGGUUUUGCUGUCACUUAUAGAUGGAUCCGCGCCGCAUUAGCUAGUUGGUAAGGUAACGGCUUACCAAGGCAACGAUGCGUAGCCGACCUGAGAGGGUGAUCGGCCACACUGGAACUGAGACACGGUCCAGACUCCUACGGGAGGCAGCAGUAGGGAAUCUUCCGCAAUGGGCGAAAGCCUGACGGAGCAACGCCGCGUGAAUGAUGAAGGUCUUCGGAUCGUAAAACUCUGUUAUUAGGGAAGAACAAAUGUGUAAGUAACUAUCCACGUCUUGACGGUACCUAAUCAGAAAGCCACGGCUAACUACGUG
rnacentral:rRNA from 1 species